rnacentral:rRNA from 1 species
UACGUAGGGUGCGAGCGUUGCCCGGAUUUAUUGGGCGUAAAGGGCGCGUAGGCGGCUACGCACGUCCGUUGUGAAAUCGCUCGGCUCAACUGGGCGGGGGUCAGCGGAUACGGCGUAGCUGGAGCAAGCUAGGGGGCAAUGGAAUUCCCGGUGUAGUGGUGGAAUGCGUAGAUAUCGGGAGGAACACCAGUGGCGAAGGCGGUUGCCUGGAGCUUUGCUGACGCUGAUGCGCGAAAGCGUGGGGGAGCGA